GGCUUGACCUAGUUCAAUCAGCACAUCCUGGCUUAGUCUGUUGCACAUUUGCUAAGCCAGGAUGAGAGCGUGCAGCUAUGUCAAGCCAAGUGUAGAUAGUUGGGAUAAGUGCACGUUCACGGCAUUCUGAAACAGACCACGGGAUCGAUCACAGAAUCAAUGAUGCAAAAAUGGAUAAAACCCGUGCGGCAUACUUCUCGCCAACUGAGCAACAGCUUCUAAUGGAAACAUAUGAAGAGAACAAGCGUGUCUGGCCAAAAAAGGACCUGGCAGCAAGUACAAGAACAUUUUGCAGGCUGCAUUGAAAAAAAAGGCUCAUAUAUCUGGCACGGGGGGUGGCCCUCCAACCCAAGACUUGACCACAGCAGAGGAGCUGGCCCUGGAGAUGAAUAAAGGGAAGCCAGUGAUGGAAGGGACACAGUGAGGGACAGCCACUGACUCUGGCCCAGCAAGAGAGACUGGCCUCUUCAUACAAGGCUUGGCACGUCCUGUCAAAACUAUCAAUACAAGUUCUAUUGAAUAUGGCAGAGGGAAGGCACAUCUGACGAUGAUGAGAUCGUGUCACUGGACUCCAGAAGGCUUGAGAAAGCAACUCACACAGGUUUGGAUAGAACUUCAAAAGAAGAAUCAGAUGAUCCAGAACAUAUAAAGGUAUUUUGUUGUUUACUAAAAAUAUUUAUAAGGUUGUUGCCAUCCUCAAGAGUAGAACCAUUUUCAAAAUAUAUUUUAGUAUUCCUUUAUUAGAGUUGAAAGAGACUAACAAAUGGAACAUUUAUUUAGAAUAAGCCUAUAUAUAUACACUACAUAUUGACCUCGUCAUGGACUUGAAACCACAUUUGCAACUUCAUCAGCCAUUUCUUAUAAUCUCAACAACUGCAAUAAUAU
ensembl:lncRNA